ensembl:snoRNA
GGGGUCCUGGACCUGCCAGCACCAUGGCACAGCCACUCCUCUGUUCCUGUGACUUUGGGGCAAAGAGCAACUGGCUAUUUCUACGCUCAGUGUUCGGAGACCAGUGAGCACUAAGAAUGGUGUAUAGCCUGACAUUU